rnacentral:misc_RNA from 1 species
ACGUUUAUUUUUUUCAUUGCAAGUUGUCUUUGAAACGAAACUCUCAUUGCUGAAACUGAAACACACUCGCCUGACACUCCUCAUGAAGCCUGCCGUUCUUGAAUGUUGUCUUCCAAUCAUCCACUGGAAGAGCCACACUUUCUUUAAUGGUUUAGUUUAGCCUAUCAUGCCAAUCCCAGGUAAGACACAAUCUUGAUUGCUAGCUAGUACAGAAAUCCAAAUUACAUUGUUUCUUUUAUUUUUGUAGCAGUAAAUAAGCAUCAAAGCCUUCAUAUCUCAUCUCUCAACCUAAUGACAUGAAGAUGGACCCUAUGAAGUUCAAAAUCUUACAAUAACUUCAGAUUUCAUUUAUAAGAACAAGAGUUGCAGAAGCAAAAAUCUAAAUAUAAACAAUUACAAGAUCAACUUAAAUGCAACUAUCAGCAGCAAGAUGCCCAUUCCAUGUCUGAUUCCUACCUCACAGAAACAA